rfam:Fusobacterium mortiferum ATCC 9817 genomic scaffold supercont2.8, whole genome shotgun sequence.
AGAGAGGAAUCUUAUGGCGUAAUAGUAUCGAACCGUGUCAGGUCUGGAAGGAAGCAGCACUAAGGUAUUUAUUAUGGGUAUAGGAUCUACUUUUUUGGU